rnacentral:rRNA from 1 species
AUUGAACGCUGGCGGCAGGCCUAACACAUGCAAGUCGAAUGGUAACACGAAACAGUUUGCUGUUUCGCUGUCGCGUCGCGGGCGGGUGUGAAAUGUCUGUGACAUUGCCUGAUGGAGGGGGUAAACUACUGGAACCGGUAGCUAAUCCCGCAUAUCGAUGCAAGACCAUAGAGGGGUAGCUUAGGGCCUUUUUCCAUCAGCUGUGCCCGGGUGGGAUUAGCUAGUAGGUGGGGUAACGGCUUACCUAGGCAACGAUCCCUAGCUGGUCUGAGAGGGUGACCGGCCACACUGGAACUGAGACACGGUCCAGACUCCUACGGGAGGCAGCAGUAGGGAAUAUUGCGCAAUGGGCGCAAGCCUGAUGCAGCCACGCCGCGUGAGUGAAGAAGGCCUUCGGAUUGUAAAGUACUUUCAGCGGGGAAGAAGGGAGGAGAGUUAAAACCUGUGCGCAUUGACGGUACCCACAGAAAAAGCACCGGCUAACUCCGUG